rnacentral:siRNA from 1 species
CGAAAAAGAACGCCAUAACAA